ensembl:snRNA U6 U6 spliceosomal RNA
GUGCUAGGUGUCGCUUCAGCAGCACACAUACUAAAAUUGGAAAGAUACAGAGAAGAUUAGCAUGGCCCCUGCGUGAGGGUGACAGGCAACUGUGUGGAGCAUUCAUAUUAA